rnacentral:rRNA from 1 species
UACAGAGGUCCCAAGCGUUGUUCGGAUUCACUGGGCGUAAAGGGUGCGUAGGUGGCGGGGUAAGUCUGAUGUGAAAGCUUCGAGCUCAACUCGAAAAUGGCAUUGGAUACUAUUCUGCUAGAGGGUUGGAGGGGGGACUGGAAUUCUCGAUGUAGCAGUGAAAUGCGUAGAUAUCGAGAGGAACACCGGUGGCGAAGGCGAGUCCCUGGACAACACCUGACACUGAGGCACGAAAGCUAGGGGAGCAAACAGG